ensembl:lncRNA
AUGAAAUGCCAUGGUGUGGUGGAUAAACAUUAUUUUUCUCACAUGAUUGUGUGUGUGUGUGUGUGUGUGUGUGUCCUCCAGAGGCGUUCUCAUGGAAGAAGGUGGAGCCUCAGGGUAAAGGUCCGUGUCCCAGGAGGAGACAGUGCUGCUGCUUGGUGGGAGAUCGUAUCAUCCUGUUUGGAGGAACCAGCUCAGAGACCCAGCCCCCAUGUCUUCCAGCCCCAACCCUGCUCAGCCCACCUCUGAACCCCACUGAGACAGCCUGAUACUGGGGAUAACAGCUCAGUCCCAGCCCCCAUGUCUUCCAGCCCUGCUCUACCCACCUCUGAACCCCACUGAGACAGCCUGAUACUGGGGAUAACAGCUCAGUCCCAGCCCCCAUGUCUUCCAGCCCCAGCCCUGCUCAGCCCACCUUUGAACCCCACUGAGACAGCCUGAUACUGGGGAUAACAGCUCAGAGUCUUACACUGCUGGAAGGGCCCGGCUGAAGGUUUCUACACUGACAUCAUUAGCUUUCACCUGCAGGAGAAAGUGUUUGAUAAAAUAUUUUUAUUAGAAUGACUGGUGUUAUUAGUCAUGUAAUGACAGGUGUUAUUAGUCAUGUAAUGACUGGUGUUAUUAGUCAUGUAAUGACAGGUGUUAUUAGUCGUGUAAUAACUGGUGUUAUUAGUCAUUUAUAGACUGGUGUUAUUAUAUUGACUGUGGUGUUAUUAGUCAUGUAAUGACUGUGGUGUUAUUAGUCAUGUAAUGACUGUGGUGUUAUUAGUCAUUUAUAGACUGGUGUUAUUAUAUUGACUGUGGUGUUAUUAGUCAUGUAAUGACUGGUAUUAUUGAUCAUGUAAUGACUGGUGUUAUUAGUCAUGUAAUAAAUGUGGUGUUAGUCAUGUAAUGACUGUGGUGUUAUCAAAUCAAAUCAAAUUUUAUUUGUCACAUACACAUGGUUAGCAGAUGUUAAUGCGAGGGUAGCGAAAUGCUUGUGUCAUGUAGUCAUGUAAUGACUGGUGUUAUUGGUCAUGUAAUGACUGGUGUUAUUGGUCAUGUAAUGACUGGUGUUAUUGGUCAUGUAAUGACUGGUGUUAUUGGUCAUGUAAUGACUGGUGUUAUUAGUCAUGUAAUGACUGGUGUUAUUAGUCAUGUAAUGACUGGUGUUAUUAGUCAUGUAAUGACUGGUGUUAUUAGUC